CCUACGGGUGGCAGCAGUGAGGAAUAUUGGUCAAUGGUAGAGAUACUGAACCAGCCAAGCCGCGUGAGGGAAGAAGGUCCAGUGGAUUGUAAACCUCUUUUGUCGGGGAACAAAAACUGGGACGCGUCCCGGAAUGCGUGUAUCUGAAGAAAAAGCAUCGGCUAACUCCGUGCCAGCAGCCGCGGUAAUACGUAGGAUGCGAGCGUUAUCCGGAUUUAUUGGGUUUAAAGGGUGCGUAGGCGGUCCGUUAAGUCAGCGGUCAAAUCGCGGGGCUCAACCCCGGCGCGCCGUUGAAACUGGCAGUCUCGAGUUGGCGAGAAGUACGCGGAAUGCGCGGUGUAGCGGUGAAAUGCAUAGAUAGCGCGCAGAACUCCGAUUGCGAAGGCAGCAUACCGGCGCCAGACUGACGCUGAGGCACGAAAGCGUGGGUAUCGAACAGGAUUAGAUACCCUAGUAGUC
rnacentral:rRNA from 1 species